UUAAUAGAAGCACAUUAUUCCUUAUUUAAAAUAUGAGUAGAAGGCUUAUACAAUCAAGAGAUUGGCAACCUUCUACACACAUACACAAACGAGAACGAGAGUCUUAACACUGUUGGAAACAACAUUGUGAAACAUGACCAUUAUUGAAAACAUGAAAACAACACUGUGAACCUCCUUCACCCGUGGUAUUUUUAUGCUCUUGUCUAGGCAAUUUCAACUGCAUUCAUCGAGCCUUUGGUGCAUACUGUAGAACAUACGUUGGCACAUUUUUCAACCGCUCCACUCACGAUUUCACUUGCAUCUAAUCGUCAAAACAAAUUUAUACGAGUUAGUUAGUACUUUUUUCAGUGAACUAUAUAUAAAAAACAAAUGACAGUGACAAAGAGUUUGAGAAGUUUGCUUUACCAGAGUUCUGGAGAGUUGUUAAGCCACCGCAUACAGAGGAUACACACCCUAACUUGCAGUAAGCAUCGACAGAGUUACCUUGAGACAAAAAAGAAUAAACACANNN
rnacentral:lncRNA from 1 species